rnacentral:rRNA from 1 species
CCUACGUGUGGCAGCAGUGAGGAAUAUUGGUCAAUGGGCGGAAGCCUGAACCAGCCAAGUAGCGUGCGGGAUGAAGGCCCUACGGGUCGUAAACCGCUUUUGCACGGGGAUAACACCCUCCACUUGUGGAGGUCUGCAGGUACCGUGCGAAUAAGGGCCGGCUAAUUCCGUGCCAGCAGCCGCGGUAAUACGGAAGGCCCGAGCGUUAUCCGGCUUCAUUGGGCUUAAAGGGUGCGUAGGCGGAUUUUUAAGUCAGCGGUAAAAUGUCCGGGCUCAACCCGGGCCGGCCGUUGAAACUGGGGAUCUUGAGUGGGCGAGAAGUAUGCGGAAUGCGUGGUGUAGCGGUGAAAUGCAUAGAGAUCACGCAGAACUCCGAUUGCGAAGGCAGCAUACCGGCGCCCGACUGACGCUGAGGCACGAAAGCGUGGGGAUCGAACAGGAUUAGAUACCCCUGUAGUC